GACGAACGCUGGCGGCGUGCUUAACACAUGCAGGCCGAACGAUGAACCCGGAGCUUGCUCCGGUGGAUUAGUGGCGAACGGGUGAGUAACACGUGAGUAACCUGCCCUUGACUCUGGGAUAACUGCGGGAAACUGUAGCUAAUACCGGAUACGACCCUCGGCGGCAUCGCCAGGGGGUGGAAAGAAUUUCGGUCAAGGAUGGACUCGCGGCCUACCAGCUAGUUGGUGAGGUAACGGCUCACCAAGGCGACGACGGGUAGCCGGCCUGGGAGGGUGACCGGCCACACUGGGACUGAGACACGGCCCAGACUCCUACGGGAGGCAGCGGUGGGGAAUAUUGCACAAUGGGCGCAAGCCUGAUGCAGCAACGCCGCGUGAGGGAUGACGGCCUUCGGGUUGUAAACCUCUUUUAGUAGGGAAGAAGCGAAAGUGACGGUACCUGCAGAAAAAGCACCGGCUAACUACGUGCCAGCCGCCGCCGUAA
rnacentral:rRNA from 1 species